rnacentral:rRNA from 1 species
CCCUUAGAUGUUCUGGGCCGCACGCGCGCUACACUGAUGCAUUCAACGAGCCUAGCCUUGACCGAGAGGUCCGGGUAAUCUUUGAAACUGCAUCGUGAUGGGGCUAGAUUAUUGCAAUUAUUAAUCUUCAACGAGGAAUGCCUAGUAAGCGUGAUUCAUCAAAUCGCGUUGAUUACGUCCCUGCCCUUUGUACACACCGCCCGUCGCUCCUACCGAUUGAGUGUGUUGGUGAGGAGUUUGGAUUGGCCUCGGAAGGUGGUUCGCCACCGUCCGUAGCUGAGAAGUUCUCCAAACCGCCCCACUUAGAGGAAGGAGAAGUCGCAACA